GUCUGAAAGACUAAUCCAACAAAACAAGGAUUGAAAC
rnacentral:other from 1 species